GAUGGUAAUUUUACAGAUUCUCCAGGUAUGAACGUGGCGUGAUUUAUGUUGAAUCCCGUUUGCUGGAAAUUAGAAAAAUGGGGAGUCUUCCGGUCAAUUCGCAGGCCAAUUUGUCACGAGUAAACCUAUACCUGUUCGUACCAAAGUAGAAAAUCAUUUUCCACCGUACUUUCGUAUAGCUCCCAUAUGUCGACCCCCUCGCGGAAUAUUAAAUUUUCAGAAAUUUCGCGAAAAAGUCGAGCGCUGGAGAUGUAGGUUGCUUUGAACGAGACCCGGUACUAGGAUCUCGAUACGUUUUAGUUUUAAUGUAAACGAAAUCUACCUAUCAUCCCUAUAAAUAUUCAAAUGUAAAAUUGUCUCGAAUACUCGUCAACGAAUCGGUAGAAUGUCGAUCGGUAAACGGAUUCGUUCUGCAGAUUGAACGCAGUUGCGCGCACCAUUAAUUAAUUAUAUUUUCAAUCAAUUGACAAAUCAAUCGCGAAACUAAUUGCAGUUCUUAUUUCAGAAGUAGAGAAAAGUUGAUUCUCGAGAUAAGGAUUGUUCCCUUGGAGCAACAUUUCGUUAAGCAAAGAGACUGCGUCUGCACCUGAACGUCUAUCGCGACUUGGUUCUAAUGGCCUGCUCGUUUACGUCUAUUACGAGCGUCUCUAAUUGACACCUAUGUAUUCCGAUUGCCAUCUCACAGUAAAUGCUCAAGACGCGUUGGCGUUAUCGGGCUUUAUCCAGCGACGAGCUUGCACCGCUUGCAAAGUUACAUUUUCGAUGCAGCGAUUCGAAAGGAAAAUUUCCUCUGCGAAAUUACAGGUGCUUUUCCAGUCAGGCGUUCAAGCUGGAGAUCGAUGGAAAGAGUCUGUUAAUUAGGUAUAAGGCGUAAUUAUGCUUCGAUCGAUGCUGAGAAGAAGAAUACAGCGACAGGAUAUCGAGAAGCUUAUUGCAGAACCUUUGUAAAUUCCGGACUAAACAUCUGUAGUUUGCACGAUAAAUCAAAGCUGACCACUAGGAUCGUAGGAAAACGUCGAUGCUACGUGACGCACAAUGCAAGCUCGCGGUGAGCGUAAUAGGUGCGUUUUGAAAGGCCGUCGCGUCGCAUCGAGGAGUGAUCGAGUAGCUUAAGCGAUCCAGGCUGCGUCAGAUGCAGGUGCUUCGUUAAUUAUCCUCUGGAUCUAACUACGUCCUUGCUCCUUUCGAUGACAAUUCAAGGAUGGCGAUUAACUGAAACAAAAUAGUACCCCCUUCGCAAUCUCUUGGUCUUCCACCUUCUUCUUCGACCACAGAGACAAACACCUUCUCUUCUUGGUAAUCCUCGACUGACCUGUAAACAAAAAAUUCGUUGGCAGUUUUUCGCGUCGAAAUCAUUUGCCAGGGACACCGUUGAGUACAGAGAGCCAUAGAACAAGAAGCAC